rnacentral:rRNA from 1 species
UACAGAGGUGGCAAGCGUUGUUCGGAAUUACUGGGCGUAAAGGGCGCGUAGGCGGUCUUGUAAGUCUUGUGUGAAAUCCCUCGGCUUAACUGAGGAACUGCACGAGAUACUGCGAGACUUGAGUUCGGGAGAGGAAAGCGGAAUUCCGGGUGUAGCGGUGAAAUGCGUAGAUAUCCGGAGGAACACCGGUGGCGAAGGCGGCUUUCUGGACCGACACUGACGCUCAUGCACGAAAGCGUGGGGAGCAAACAGG